GUUGCCUCGGCGGGCAGCCGGAGCCCAGCUCCGGCGCCCGGAGCCGCCUUCUCGGCGCGCCCCACCCGCCGGCGGACCACUAAACUCUAUUGCAACGACGUCUCUUCUGAGUGGUACAAGCAAAUAAUCAAAACUUUUAACAACGGAUCUCUUGGUUCUGGCAUCGAUGAAGAACGCAGCGAAAUGCGAUAAGUAAUGUGAAUUGCAGAAUUCAGUGAAUCAUCGAAUCUUUGAACGCACAUUGCGCCCGCCAGCAUUCUGGCGGGCAUGCCUGUUCGAGCGUCAUUUCAACCCUCAAGCACCGCUUGGCGUUGGGGCCCUACGGCUUCCGUAGGCCCCGAAAUACAGUGGCGGACCCUCCCGGAGCCUCCUUUGCGUAGUAACAUACCACCUCGCACUGGGAUCCGGAGGGACUCCUGCCGUAAAACCCCCCAAUUUAUCAAGGUUGACCUCGGAUCAGGUAGGAAUAUCCGCUGAACUUAAGCAUAUC
rnacentral:rRNA from 1 species